CAAUCGACGCCCUCCUCUUCCUCCGCAACCAGGCCCUCGGCCCGACCGACAUCUGGCUCGGAUCCCGCGCGGACUUCUCGAACAUCUUCAUCAUGGGCUGCAGCGCCGGCGACAACAUCGCCUUCCAUGGGUCGCUUUGGAUUUUGAAUUUUAGCUCGGUCUUAUCUGUUGAGUGAGAUGAAGGAAGAAGGGGAUGAAGCAAGCAAUAAUAAUAGCAGUUAUUAUUCAUGGAAGCAAUCUCUGCCUCAUGUUUUGGUGGCUACAAUAUCUUCCUUUUUAUUUGGUUAUCAUCUAGGGUACGAUUAACUAAAUAACGAUUUUAAUUGAAGGAAUUUUGUGCUGUUUAAUCCUGUAUUUAUUUGUUUGCUGCUGCCUUAGUGUUGUGAACGAGCCACUGGAGAGUAUAUCAGUGGAUCUAGGGUUUGCUGGGAACACCUCGGAAGAAGGGCUUGUGGUGAGCAUGUGCUUGGGUGCAGCGAAGGGCAUUUCAGUUGUCUGCUUUGCCAUCGGAAUUAAAGUUCCUUUGUCAUCGGAGCUUGUUUGAGCAUGGAAGAAUUGAUGAAGCGGGAGAUGAAUUUGAGAAACUUUUGGGAGAAUCACAUGUAAAAUCAGCAUUAGAAGAAUUGUCGCGCGCAGACAAAGGGGAUGAUACAGAGGGUGUAAAACUUUCAGAAUUACUCUAUGGUUGUCAUUUUAAAGGUAGCAUUCGACCUAAUGAUGCUUCAACAACUUGGAGGAGUAAAUGCAAUUGGAUUCUAUAAAUUAUGCAAAGUUCAUCAAGUUAUGUAAACAAUUGUAUAUGUAUAUCUAGUAUUUUGGUGAAUGUAUUAUUUGAAUAUAAUUAUAUUUG